AAGAGAGUAGAUGAAACGGAGGGGGAAAGAGUUGUUUGCUUUGGAAUGGACAUCCACUUUAUCUAUCCAUACAUUUAUUUUGUUAUCUCUGUGUCUUAUCUAUAAUUUACUGGAAAAGUGACUAAGUAUAAACACAUGCCUGGGCCUGGCAGGAUGAGAGGUUUGCGGAGACAAAGGGGAUCAAGGAGGGGCAUGGUGUCGAGAGGAGGUGCAAUGAACAGAGCUGAUGCCAGUGCCAUGGUUUGUGCCAUCGGAAAGAUUCUGUGUUUAACAUUUUAGACAGGUGGACAGUUUGAUCAGACCACAUUCACAUCAAGGGGGGUGUUCAGAGGAUGAGGUAGAGGAAGAUGGGGUAGACUGAGCAGGUUCAACACACCUUCCUGUGUUUUAAACUGUUUAAUCUUAAAAUGUGAUUCACAUUUGACUCCCAGUGCAGCACUUUUAAGUACUAAAGAGGGGACAAUUCAUGAAUAUUGUGCUUUUGUGUUUUAUCCAAACUUAUAGGACCAGUAAAAUCCAGAAACUUAGUCUGAGUUGCAAUAAAUCCAAAGUAUUUUCUGAAGAUUUAGAUUUCUCCACAAUUCCAAAAUCAGCAAAAGAGAAGUGGUACAGCUGUGCAGGCGGAAACAGUAACUCAUGAGAACUAGUCAUCACUGGGAGCUUGUCUUCCAAUGCAUUGGAAUCAAUCACAACUCUUUGGUUUCUGUCUAACUGUAAACACUGACAGCAAAAAAGAGAGGCCACAAAAAUAUUUUCAUGCAGCCAAGGUAUGCUCAGUGUAGCUUCUCCAUCAUCAAGGAGAA